AGGGAAAGAGAGAAAGAGAGAGAGAGAGAGAGUUUUAAAUAUAAUAAGUAUUUAAUUUAUAUUUAUUAGUCUGUGUUGCUGCCUUUUCCUGACCCUCCCUCCUCCCAAUCAUGUGUGAUUAUUGAUGUGAUUAUUGAUGGUGUAUCAUUGAGGAUGGCUUCAGACAAAGAAGGGAGCCGCAGCAGAGGGAUGAAAGAGCCACUUGCGGCUCCGGAGACGCGGGUUGCCGACCCCUGACCUAGGGCUUGACACCGAUUAGGUCCUCUGUACAACGCAGCCCAGUUGCGUCAAUCGAGAUACAACUCCCACAGUAUCAACCUGAUGCAUCGUGGCUCUGACCUGUUCAAUCUGCACUUGGUGUCCUCAUGCCUUUAACGCUGCUCUCAUCAUUCUGUAUCCACAAUGAGGCAUGUGUUGUUUUCCAUAUGUAACACAAGCAUCUAUCACUUCGUCUGGGAGCCUUCUAUUCAUUCGUCUGAAUACAGUGCAUGUGCUUACUCCAAGCCUGUGGGCAAUGGUUUUGGAAUAGAACAGUUCACGUCCAGGAGAUAUGAAAUGUAAUUCGAUGAUAUUAUAAAACAUGGUCGAUCUUUUGCCGCUCGCUACUUCAGAAUAGUCACAGUGGCGUCUCUCUGUCUGACAGGUUUUGUUGAAUUAGUCUGAGCAGUUCUGUGAUACCUUUUAAGACAUCCUCUGGGACAGCGACUACAUAACAAAUAGCACUUAAAUAGACAAAUUCUUGAACAAUCAUGAGCGAAGUCUUUCCAAUAUAAAAUCCAAAAGCAAAUGCUGAAAUU